UACGAAGGGUGCAAGCGUUACUCGGAAUUACUGGGCGUAAAGCGUGCGUAGGCGGUUUGUUAAGUCUGUUGUGAAAGCCCCGGGCUCAACCUGGGAAUGGCAAUGGAAACUGGCGAGCUAGAGUACGGUAGAGGAGAGUGGAAUUCCCGGUGUAGCAGUGAAAUGCGUAGAGAUCGGGAGGAACAUCAGUGGCGAAGGCGGCUCUCUGGACCAGUACUGACGCUGAGGCACGAAAGCGUGGGGAGCAAACAGG
rnacentral:rRNA from 1 species